rnacentral:rRNA from 1 species
GACUCCUACGGGAGGCAGCAGUGGGGAAUAUUGCACAAUAGGCGCACAGCCUGAUGCAGCCAUGCCGCGUGUAUGAAGAAGGCCUUCGGGUUGUAAAGUACUUUCAGCGGGGAGGAAGGUGAUGAGGUUAAUAACCUCAGCAAUUGACGUUACCCGCAGAAGAAGCACCGGCUAACUCCGUGCCAGCAGCCGCGGUAAUACGGAGGGUGCAAGCGUUAAUCGGAAUUACUGGGCGUAAAGCGCACGCAGGCGGUCUGUCAAGUCGGAUGUGAAAUCCCCGGGCUCAACCUGGGAACUGCAUUCGAAACUGGCAGGCUAGAGUCUUGUAGAGGGGGGUAGAAUUCCAGGUGUAGCGGUGAAAUGCGUAGAGAUCUGGAGGAAUACCGGUGGCGAAGGCGGCCCCCUGGACAAAGACUGACGCUCAGGUGCGAA